GAGUGGCGGACGGGUGAGUAAUGUCUGGGAAACUGCCUGAUGGAGGGGGAUAACUACUGGAAACGGUAGCUAAUACCGCAUAACGUCGCAAGACCAAAGAGGGGGACCUUCGGGCCUCUUGCCAUCAGAUGUGCCCAGAUGGGAUUAGCUAGUAAGUGGGGUAACGGCUCACCUAGGCGACGAUCCCUAGCUGGUCUGAGAGGAUGACCAGCCACACUGGAACUGAGACACGGUCCAGACUCCUACGGGAGGCAGCAGUGGGGAAUAUUGCACAAUGGGCGCAAGCCUGAUGCAGCCAUGCCGCGUGUAUGAAGAAGGCCUUCGGGUUGUAAAGUACUUUCAGCGGGGAGGAAGGGAGUAAAGUUAAUACCUUUGCUCAUUGACGUUACCCGCAGAAGAAGCACCGGCUAACUCCGUGCCAGCAGCCGCGGUAAUACGGAGGGUGCAAGCGUUAAUCGGAAUUACUGGGCGUAAAGCGCACGCAGGCGGUUUGUUAAGUCAGAUGUGAAAUCCCCGGGCUCAACCUGGGAACUGCAUCUGAUACUGGCAAGCUUGAGUCUCGUAGAGGGGGGUAGAAUUCCAGGUGUAGCGGUGAAAUGCGUAGAGAUCUGGAGGAAUACCG
rnacentral:rRNA from 1 species